CAGCCGUAAACAAUGUGCGUUAGGUGUGUCGGUAACCACGCGUUACUGAUGCGCCGAAGAGAAAUCGUGAAACGCACCACCUGGGAAGUACGGUCGCAAGGCUGAAACUUAAAGGAAUUGGCGGGGGAGCACCACAACAGGUGGAGCCUGCGGUUUAAUUGGAUUCAACGCCGGACAUCUCACCGGAUAAGACGGCUGAAUGAUUGUCAAUCUGAAGGUUUUACAUGACUAGCUGAGAGGAGGUGCAUGGCGUCAGUGACU
rnacentral:rRNA from 1 species